AUAUCAAUAAGCGGAGGAAAAGAAACCAACAGGGAUUGCCCUAGUAACGGCGAGUGAAGCGGCAACAGCUCAAAUUUGAAAUCUGGCCCUCGGGUCCGAGUUGUAAUUUGUAGAGGAUGCUUUUGGCGCGGUGCCUUCCGAGUUCCCUGGAACGGGACGCCUUAGAGGGUGAGAGCCCCGUACGGUUGGACACCAAGCCUCUGUAAAGCUCCUUCGACGAGUCGAGUAGUUUGGGAAUGCUGCUCUAAAUGGGAGGUAAAUUUCUUCUAAAGCUAAAUAUUGGCCAGAGACCGAUAGCGCACAAGUAGAGUGAUCGAAAGAUGAAAAGCACUUUGAAAAGAGGGUUAAAUAGCACGUGAAAUUGUUGAAAGGGAAGCGUUUGCGACCAGACCUUUUCCUAGGGGAUCAUCCGGUGUUCUCACCGGUGCACUUCCCUAGGUUCAGGCCAGCAUCGGUUUCUGUAGGGGGAUAAAAGCUCUGGGAACGUAGCUCCCUCGGGAGUGUUAUAGCCCUCUGCAUAAUACCCUUACGGGGACCGAGGACCGCGCUUCGGCAAGGAUGCUGGCGUAAUGGUCGUCAACGACCCGUCUUGAAACACGGACCAAGGAGUCGAACAUUUGUGCGAGUGUUUGGGUGUUAAACCCUCACGCGUAAUGAAAGUGAACGGAGGUGAGAGCCCUUACGGGUGCAUCAUCGACCGAUCCUGAUGUCUUCGGAUGGAUUUGAGUAAGAGCAUAACUGUUCGGACCCGAAAGAUGGUGAACUAUGCGUGGAUAGGGUGAAGCCAGAGGAAACUCUGGUGGAGGCUCGCAGCGGUUCUGACGUGCAAAUCGAUCGUCAAAUCUGCGCAUGGGGGCGAAAGACUUAUCGAACCAUCUAGUAGCUGGUUACCGC
rnacentral:rRNA from 1 species